UAUUAUUGAAUCGAGGGGACGUAGAUGAAGAUCCAGUUUCUAUUUAUAGAAGCCAUGGCAACAUCGACAUACGCAGUCACCUGAUUCGAGCUCUCUUCCCUGAUUCCCCUCUGCAACUCCUCCGUCAUCGUCUUCUCAGCGGCUGUGGGGCGGAUCGUCACGACCGACUCAGCGAGUCCCGAUCGAGUCGUCGAUGGGGACGAGGAGCAACGGCGAACUCAGCUUGUCCUUGGACAGCAAUCAAUCACCUUCAUGAAUCACAACUUGGAGCAACCUUCUCAUCCACGAGAGCCUUCUUGAGGAUUCCUUAGAAGACCGGACAACCCUUGGUGACCAUUCCUUUGGCCGUAGGACAUGAUGCCAAAGGACAUUGGUCACCGGAUGUGGUCCCCCACCAAUGGGGAAUGUUAAUAUCAUUGUGUUGGAACACAAAGAAGAUAGCUACCGUCAUGAAUGCAGUGCCUGCGUCCAGAGCCGCAGACAUAAUGUAGGUACCAACCAGGAACAGGGGCGAGGAUGCCAAUUAGGAAGAACCAAUUCAUCUCUGGGUAGACACCUUUAUUUGUGAACAUUCUUCCCGGACCGAUGACUCCCCAUAUGAUUGAAGCAUUGUAGAAUAGCCUUGGGCCUGGACAUUUCCAUGGGCUAUCUUUGGGAAGCAAGUCUGUCUGGCAGACAUUCUCAAUGUUUAUGAUUUGCCACCAUAUUGUCGCAAAGCAGACGGUCGAUGCGACAAUAGUUGAGACCAACUGAAAGUUGUACCUGGACAAGGAACAUAGAUCUCGGCGGGAUCUUCAUAUAGUGGCCCAGUUUAAAGUCUUGGAGGAAGGUUAGCGCUUGGGACAUACUUAUAUAUCCAUAUGUCUUAAAGGAUACAUUUGCCAAAGGCUUUCCAGGGUAGAGCAACAUGAGUGACUCCCGUCGCGCAUAAGGUUCUCUCGUCAUCACCUGGUUUGUUGUUGCCUGGAUUACUCCGACGGGCAGGGUAAAGAACAA